UAUUCCCCUCCAUUAAUUGCAAGAGGCGUUAAUUGGGUGCGGGAGAGAAAACGACCAGCUCAUCCAACGCCGCCGCCGCCGCCGUCUCCCUCUCGCUCACCUCUCGCCGUACCAAAUCGACGCUGCCGCCCUCCGCUUCGAGCUCCGGACCGGCCCCCACCCAACUCCACCCACCGCCGUCCUACGAUUCGACCUCCGUGGACUCAUAUCCAGCCGCCGCAUCCUCGUCUCCCAUCCGCAGCGCCUGGUGCUGGUCGGCCUAGCCAUGGACCUCCACGGGCUGACCUGCUGACCCGCCGGCGGGGACGAGUAGGGCGCCAAGAAUGUGCCUCUCGCCGACGGCUCUUGGCGCGAGGGCCGCAAGAUGGCGACGGGAGCCACAGAGGAAGGGAGGGUGGUGGCCUGCAGCCGCCGCCGCCUGCGGUGUCCCCGGACCUUCUGCUCCCCACGCCAUCCACCUCUCCGUCCCGCUGCUGCCUCCCCAACCUGCACCUGCCAGCACUGGGUUACUGAGCAAAGCAGUGUGAUGGCAGCGAGUUCACCGCGACUGCUAGUGGAAAGUAGUUGAAACCGUGAAUUCUCAUGGCACUCAGUUACUGAGAAAAACAGUGUGAUGGCAGCGAGUUCACCGCGACUGCAAGUGGGAAGUAGGCAAAGCUGUGAAUCCUGAUGACAAAGAGAGGAGAUGCUUCGCUCGCCAACUUGUGAUGACCAUGUACAGUGGCGCCCUCUUGCUGGUGCCAACGACCACCGACGCCGCCAUGGCACAUGCCCAGCUGCUCGAGCCUCCCGCCACUCGGACGUAGAGGUUGAUGGCCUGCUCCUCCAUGAGCAACUCCUCUGCUGGCUCUUAGUCCCAGCCAUGGUCCAAAGUAAGGUGAGGGCUAGAGCUGGGCGUGGACGCGGAUUGCUAUGCA